UACGUAGGGGGCAAGCGUUGUCCGGAUUUAUUGGGCGGAAAGAGCGUGUAGGCGGUUUGGUAGGUCCGCUGUGAAAACUCGAGGCUCAACCUCGAGACGCCGGUGGAAACCAUCAGACUAGAGUCCGGAAGAGGAGAGUGGAAUUCCUGGUGUAGCGGUGAAAUGCGCAGAUAUCAGGAAGAACACCCGUGGCUAAGGCGGCUCUCUAGUACGGUACUGACGCUGAGACGCGAAAGCGUGGGGAGCGAACAGG
rnacentral:rRNA from 1 species